rnacentral:tRNA from 1 species
GGAGUUGUGGCUCAGUGGCAGAGUGCUUGCCUAGCAUGCAUGAGGCCCUGAGUUCAAUCCUCAGCACCA